GAUGAAGAACGCAGCGAAAUGCGAUAAGUAAUGUGAAUUGCAGAAUUCAGUGAAUCAUCGAAUCUUUGAACGCACAUUGCGCCCGUCAGUAUUCUGGCGGGCAUGCCUGUUCGAGCGUCAUUACGCCCCUCAAGUCCCCUGUGGACUUGGUGUUGGGGAUCGGCGAGGCUGGUUUUCCAGCACAGCCGUCCCUUAAAUUAAUUGGCGGUCUCGCCGUGGCCCUCCUCUGCGCAGUAGUAAAACACUCGCAACAGGAGCCCGGCGCGGUCCACUGCCGUAAAACCCCCCAACUUUUUAUAGUUGACCUCGAAUCAGGUAAGACUACCCGCUGAACUUAAGCAUAUCAAUAAGCGGAGGA
rnacentral:misc_RNA from 1 species